rnacentral:lncRNA from 1 species
GAAUUUUUUUUUUUUUUUUUAAAUUCAAUCUUGGUUCCAAAAAAAAAAAAAAAAUAUGUCUGCCAGGGCCUUAAAAGCCAUCGUUGUAAAUUACCAAUAAAGUAUAACAUAUGCAAACAUAACAAAAUCACUUCCACAGUGACGAUACUCCAACCAUAUGGAUAUUAGUCAUAGAAACUAGAGGCUUUAUGAUAUUUUUUUAAGUUUUUUUAAUCUAGGUAGUCUGCACUUAAAUAUCAACCAUUUUCCUUUUUUUGCUUCUUCCCUUAAAAUUUAUAUGUAUCCAAUACAUUUAAUUGAGAAAUGUAUGUUUUUUAUUAUGCUGUAUUUUCUUUUUAUUUUUUAAUUAUUGUUUAUAUUUUCAAUUAAAAAUGUACAAAAUAAAAUUACAUUGCUGGUCUUGUAAGAGCUCUACACUUUUCCUACAUGUACCUACAACUACAGCAGUUCAUCUAUUUCAGGAAGUUGAAUUCUGUUCAUUUGUUCUCUUUAAGACCACCUCAGAUAAAAGGCUACCUUAUUGUACGUUUAAAGUGUAUUAUAACAGUGUGGUAGUUAAUAAAACACUAUUUUUUUUUUCUUUUGAGUUUGUUGUAGUCCGAUGCAUCUAAAAUACUGCAAUGGUAUGGAUAAGAAAGCCUGGCUUAUUUUUCUUUACUUUAGACUUUUAUUUUUAGAUUCUUGAUUUCAGAUGCUGGGAUUGUAAAUAAAUAUAUUUACUUAAAAAGAGGUGUAUAGAGGUGCUGGCAAUUAAUUUUUCACUUAAAAUGAAUUUAUUAAAUAUAACUUGAAACUUG